rnacentral:ribozyme from 1 species
UGCCCAGCAACUCCUAUCUCUACCUCCUCGUGGUAUUGACCGGGGUACGAGUAACCUUUUUUUUUCUGUUCGG